rnacentral:misc_RNA from 1 species
CGGAUAUGAAUUUGGAUUUGGAUUGUCUUUCAGUGAAGCGUCAGUUUGAGGUUUUGAAAAUAGAGAAUGGAUUAUUGAAAAAGAGCAUUGACGAUCUUAGGAAACAAAUGAAAUUGUUUUCCAAUUCCGGCCGCCGGUUCAAGGGCAGAAAGGCGUCGGAGUUGGGCGGUUUUGAUGGGCUCCCUCCAGACGAUGCGGCGGCGACG